rnacentral:rRNA from 1 species
AGUUUGAUCCUGGCUCGAAUGAACGCUGGCGGCAGGCCUAACACAUGCAAGUCGAACGGAGUUAUAUUGUAGCUUGCUAUGGUAUAACUUAGUGGCAGACGGGUGAGUAAUGUAUAGGAAUCUACCUAGUAGUACGGAAUAAUUGUUGGAAACGGCAACUAAUACCGUAUACGCCCUACGGGGGAAAAAUUUAUUGCUAUUAGAUGAGCCUAUAUUAGAUUAGCUAGUUGGUGGAGUAAUAGCCUACCAAGGCAAUGAUCUAUAGCUGAUCUGAGAGGAUGAUCAGCCACACUGGAACUGAGAUACGGUCCAGACUCCUACGGGAGGCAGCAGUGGGGAAUAUUGGACAAUGGGCGAAAGCCUGAUCCAGCCAUGCCGCAUGAGUGAAGAAGGCCUUUGGGUUGUAAAGCUCUUUUAGUGAGGAAGAUAAUGACGGUACUCACAGAAGAAGUCCUGGCUAACUCCGUGCCAGCAGCCGCGGUAAUACGGAGAGGGCUAGCGUUAUUCGGAAUUAUUGGGCGUAAAGGGCGCGUAGGCGGAUUAGUAAGUUAAAAGUGAAAUCCCAAGGCUCAACCUUGGAAUUGCUUUUAAAACUGCUAAUCUAGAGAUUGAAAGAGGAUAGAGGAAUUCCUAGUGUAGAGGUGAAAUUCGUAAAUAUUAGGAGGAACACCAGUGGCGAAGGCGUCUAUCUGGUUCAAAUCUGACGCUGAGGCGCGAAGGCGUGGGGAGCAAACAGGAUUAGAUACCCUGGUAGUCCACGCUGUAAACGAUGAAUGUUAAAUAUGGGAAGUUUUACUUUCUGUAUUACAGCUAACGCGUUAAACAUUCCGCCUGGGGACUACGGUCGCAAGAUUAAAACUCAAAGGAAUUGACGG